rnacentral:rRNA from 1 species
UACGAAGGGGGCUAGCGUUGCUCGGAAUCACUGGGCGUAAAGCGCACGUAGGCGGCUUCUUAAGUCAGGGGUGAAAUCCUGGAGCUCAACUCCAGAACUGCCUUUGAUACUGAGAGGCUUGAGUCCGGGAGAGGUGAGUGGAACUGCGAGUGUAGAGGUGAAAUUCGUAGAUAUUCGCAAGAACACCAGUGGCGAAGGCGGCUCACUGGCCCGGUACUGACGCUGAGGUGCGAAAGCGUGGGGAGCGAACAGG